GCUGCAAAACGUUCUAUCGCGGCCCCGACUUGUCGGGGGUGAGGAAAGUCCGGGCAACAUAGAGCAUCCUGCUUCCUAACGGGAAGGCGCCGACAGCCGGCGACAGCAAGUGCCACAGAAAAUAUACCGCCCCGAUUCAUCGGGGUAAGGGUGAAAACGUGAGGUAAGAGCUCACGGCUUUUCCGGGCAACCGGAAUUGCGGUAAACCUCAGGAGUUGAAAAACCAAAUAGGUCCCGGAAGUGGAGUUGCUCGCUUCCGUAUCCCGAUUUAUCGGGGUCGCCGGGAUGGGUAGGUUGCUGGAGCCUGUUAGCAAUAGCAGGCCAAGAUAAAUGAUAGAAAACGUUUGCCAACCGGCAAACGAACAGAACCCGGCUUAUAGCUUUGCUGCUGCU
rnacentral:RNase_P_RNA from 1 species